rnacentral:lncRNA from 1 species
GCUUGGAGGAAUCAAUAGGAGAAUUCACUCACAUAAACCAAAGGCCAGUAAAGAUUCCCAUGCAUUCCAAUGGACUCUUUUAGGUGGAUGCCAGUGAAUGGUGAGAGAUGAGAUUGGGAGAGGAGAGCAUUCUCAGCUACUGAGUCCACAGUGAAACUAAAGAGAAGCCAUCGCAAGGCCUGGAGAACUAUCUCUAGAAAUAUCUUGGCUGCACUGAUGAGAUUUUGGGCACGUAUUUCUUUAACUGUGAUAAAACAUGAAAUAACAAGAGAGAAUCAAAUUAGGAAGAACUCCAGCUAUCUCCAAGGUGUUUGUGAUCUGAAGCACUACUGGGGAGGUAAUUGUGGCUGAUGCACCACCACAAAAGAUUGAGAACGUCUCCCUCCUGCAAUAAUCAGACUAAUGUUUUCCUCAUUACCAUGUCUUCAUUUUUCCUGUCGACAGUACAAUGGCUGCAGAGGUCUCAUUACUGUUUUCCAUAUUUAUGUUUUAAAUUAUUGAUAGGCUGUAGUAGGGCUGAUAUGUGACUGAAAACCAGCAGUGUCAGGUAGUUAAGAAAUAUUUUUCAGAGAGCCAUUGGAACAUAACACAUGUGCAUCUGUCAAGAUUGGAAAGCAGAAAACAUACAUGAGACACAGUUGGGCUGUUCAAUUUGUUAACUACGUGGGGCAAGUCAACUGUCUCCUGAAUGCAAUAUGUAAGAAUGGCUAAAGUGAUAGGACUUGAACUCUUCCAAGCUCCGGGCUCUUCUUGCAUCUUGUUAUGAUAGCAAUUAUGGUCCAAACAACAUCAUAUGGCAAUGAUUUAAUUGGCUCAAGUACUGCUCCAAAGGUAAGUGUCACAGACUUUUUGGUCCUAUUCCCCACUUUUCCUGUUUGGAAGCAGAUUACUCAAAUAGCAGAAAUAAAAUGUCAUUUCUGUUGCCAUAUGGGAAACUUAAUGCUACAGUUAAAGAAAGACUCAUGUAGAAAAUUCUGUUUCUUAAACGUGGCAUGUAAAAUUCCAUUGCAGUAAAAAAGAAUGGCAUUUCAUAUGGUUGAAACAUUUACAAAUAAGGAGCAAAAAACCAAAACUCAUGACUCGGUCAGUCAUAAAACAUUUUCAAAACCUUGAUAUGUAAUAUUACUAUAGAUCUCAGGUUAAUCAGCACAUAGUGAACACUGAAUAAUAUUUUAGCAAUAUUAUAGAAUAUUAAA